rnacentral:lncRNA from 1 species
CAUGGUGUCACUGUAUCAUCUGGUAAGAGAUGACAGAUGUCCCAAGUAAACAGCUCUUGUGCUCUAAGGACAAAGUUGCUGCUGCCAUGAUAGCCCACUGAGCCUCCCUUCAAAGACCUGCAACUUCCUAUCUCUGCUGAAGCAGGAGUAGCAGCCAAUAAGACAAAGCUGUAUUUCCUUCCUUUGGUUAUCUGUUUCUUGGAUGCUCAACGCCUGCUCUUUUUCACCCUGCAUUUGUGCAUUCCUAUCUCUGAAUAUUAAUUCUGUAUUACAAAUAAAUAAUCCCACUCUGAAUGAGUAUACCCCUGUUGGUACCUCUUGCCCUGGGGGAGAAGUAAGUCUUGUCACAAACAGGGAGCUACUGAUCUGUAUUUAAGAUGAAGCUAAGAAACAACGUGACUAUCAAUGUUGCUUGCUCCAAAAGUAAUUCCUCAAAUUUAUUUCCAGGGAAAUUAUAACAAAGAGCACAAUAACACUGCUCAACAGAAAAAAUUCUCAGCAACAAAACACCAUUUUUCAACACAGCCACCACCGUUAGGUAUACAUUUUCACCAG